CCAGGGUUGGCCGGUGGCCAGGGGCUGCUGCACAAGGUGGGCUGCGGGGGGCAGGGGCCGUGCAGACGGGAGAGGUGGAGAAAAGAGACCAGAGAGCGGAAGCCAGCUGGGCGAAGUGACAACGCAAGGAACGUCGCAGGAACUCCCACGCACGUCACAACACAGGCCAGGGCAGCGUUCCAUCAUCCAGCACUUCUGGCCUUGGAAGACACUACUGAAGUCCAGAGAGGUUAAGACAUUAGUCUAGAGUCACACAGUGGGAGUGAAGAGCCUGGGUCUGGCCCUAGCUGGCUGGCCUGUGUUGCGCCACCUGAGUGUGGAGUGUGUGGAGUGCACUAAGCUGACCGAGGUGGACGAGGCAAGUAAGGGACCAUGACGCCGCCCCCUGCCCCAUUUCCCUCACCCAGCUCUGCAGUGCUGGGCCUCAGUGAAGUCCCUGGGGUGCUGGGCCUGGCAGCUCUGGGACCUGGCACUGCGGCUGGAUCCUAGAGAGUGGCCUGCUUGCCCAGUCUGGAGUUCAAAUCCCAGCCCAGCCAUCUGUCCCUGUGGAUCCAGCAGA